rnacentral:tRNA from 1 species
GGCUCGGUAGCUUAGUGUACAAAGCACCCGUCUAGCAUACAAGAGUCGUAGGUUCGAAUCCCACAUGAGCAA